rnacentral:rRNA from 1 species
AGUGAACGCUGGCGGUAGGCCUAACACAUGCAAGUCGAACGGCAGCACAGGAGAGCUUGCUCUCUGGGUGGCGAGUGGCGGACGGGUGAGGAAUACAUCGGAAUCUACUUUUUCGUGGGGGAUAACGUAGGGAAACUUACGCUAAUAUCGCAUACAACCUACGGGUGAAAGCAGGGGAACUUCGGACCUUGCGCGAUUGAAUGAGCCGAUGUCGGAUUAGCUAGUGGGCGGGGUAAAGGCCCACCAAGGCGACGAUCCGUAGCUGGUCUGAGAGGAUGAUCAGCCACACUGGAACUGAGACAAGGUCCAGACUCCUACGGGAGGCAGCAGUGGGGAAUAUUGGACAAUGGGCGCAAGCCUGAUCCAGCCAUACCGCGUGGGUGAAGAAAGCCUUCGGGUUGUAAAGCCCUUUUGUUGGGAAAGAAAUCCAGCUGGUUAAUACCCGGUUGGGAUGACGGUACCCAAAGAAUAAGCACCGGCUAACUUCGUGCCAGCCGCCGCAGUAA